CAGUAACCCCCAUGUCCACACCGACAGCUGCAUUAAACUCUUUGACAAAGCAGUUAGUUACUUUGAUCAGAAUAAUCCAUUUGCCCUAUCUCAGGGACCUUUCACCUGAAGCUUUUUCUGAACAGGGGAGAGGGGCGGGUAGACCCAUUUGUUUGGAUGAGAGCUGUCCAUUUCUCCUAUCCCAGGCAAGCUUGCCCUGUCUCCUUCCUGUCAGCCUUUGUUAGCCUUGACCCUUUAAUCAUUUGGGAUGCUCCUAGAGACAUUAGGAUUUUAGUCUGUCCUUGAGAAAACACUGGACCCUUCCUGCUUCCCAUUUUCAUGAUGAAGGAGAAACUCUUCUACAGGAGCCAAUUUGAUGAGACGAAUUCCAGAAUUCGAGCAGUUAAAUGAGAAAUCACAUUUGCCACCUGGUCUGGAGUGGGUGAGUGAUGGGAGACCCUUCUGUGUAUACGUUUGUCUUAUUAGUUGAUGAAUAAAGCACUGUUGGCCACUAGGAAAGCAUGAUAGGUGGGACUAAGAGUCGAGGCGGUUUCUGGGAAAUGUAUUAGAGGAGAGUCGCCAUGUGAGCCUGGGAAGACAAGACACUUGCUGCCGGUGUCCUCAAUAAGGGCCAGGGGAGACCGUUGGUGAAGUGACUGGCACACAAGCAAGAAGACCUGACAACCCACAUAAACACCCAGGAGUGUGAGGUGGCAUGCUUGUAGCCCAACUGCUGGGGUAAGGACAGGUAGGUCCCUGUCCCACCUAGCCUGUUCAGUGAGCUUCAGGCCAGUGAGACACUGUCUCCAGAAGGAGGUCCUUUGUGAAUGAAGGUUUAGGAGUUUGGGAUUUCUGAAAUACAGGAUCAGUGAUAAAGAAGAGAGCUCACUGAAUGAGGAUUAAGUACCAGCAAAAUGUGAAAUGCUAAGUUCAACAAAAUAUGAAAUGUUAAGUUAGAAAACAGAAGACCAAAGUUUCAAAUGGCAUUGAUCUUCCGAAUGUCUGCCAUAUGGAUUCUCUGUGUUGUGGGGCAUCUUAAAACACACCCAGCAGUAAUGAUGGAAGAGGAAAUAAGAUGAAAUCCCCUAUGGACAAAGGAGUCACUAACAUGAUGUCAUCAUUUGGAUGUUGGCUGUCUUCCAAAGUUCUGUUUCCCAAUCUGCAACCACUGGGAGGUACAUGGAAUACAUCAGGCCACAGUGACUAGGAGCAGUUCUGAGAUCCAUUACUGACUAAUCAACUGAAUUGUUUUCAACUUAAUUAUAAUUUCUUUGUUGACAUAAAUCACAUUUCAUAGGUUACUUACUCCUUACACAGAUCUAUGUUUGAAUAUCAAUAAAAGUUGAUUAACAAGGUGUCAGUUGAAGCCUUUUAUAACUCAAGUGCUUGUAGAAGAAUUAUCUUGCCUGUUUAGGAAGC
rnacentral:lncRNA from 1 species